ACAAUCAAUUAAUAUUUGUAAAAUUCCUUUAAAACAGUAAAAACUCUCACAGAAAAAAGGGGGUACAGUAACACAUUAUAUUACUGCAUUACUGAAAAAGGUAGUGUAAUUACAAUAAUGCUUUACUUUGGAACGUGUUACAUCCAACACUGCACACACUGUAAACUCUGUGUGGUAUUUCACUAUACAAAUAGAAAGCUUUUUGAUUUGCAAGUCAAAGGUUGGACACACUCGCUGUACUCAGACUUUUGACUGUUAACUGUAACUUGGCAUUUUUCUUGGCAACGGUUGAUAUGGUGAUAUUUGAUAAUAAUUUCCAGACUCGUCUUUUCUCACCAGUUGAGUCCUUAUUUAUCCUGUUGAAAAAUGUCCUUGAUGAAAUGACUUAAAACAGAUCUUUGGGUUGAACCAACUUUAAAGGUUUAGGAGGGGGGAAUUCCCUCAGCUGGAAGCUACCAUCCAGUCUGUUGCCAUCUGGAGGCUUCAGUGUCACAGCUGCAGCAGGCGGAUCGUGUAGCCUAUUUUUGGAACAGGCUGACCAAUGUGAUGAUUUAAUUAGCCCAUUUUGAUUAUGAACAGAACAUAAUCAAAAGCAGAGGUUAAUUAGCCCACUGAUAAUGCUCCUGAAGACUCUGAUUGGCCACACCAUCAUUGAGUACCAUGCUAGAAAGAACAAAGAUUAAGUGAAAUGUGUGGUACUUUCAGCUACUCUCUUAUUUGCCAAAGGGGUCACCACAGCAGAUGGAUCCACAUAUUUGGUUUGACAGAUUUUACACCAGAUGUCUUUCCAGCCAUAAACCUCCCAUUUAUCUGGUCCAGCACUAGGAGUGCACUGACCUGUGACCCUUCUGUGGCUGUGUCCGUGUCUCCUCCCAGUCUCAACCUGGGAAUCCUUCACAUGUAAGGUGAAUGUGUUAAAAGUAAAGUAAGUGACAGCUGAUAUGUGGUGGCUGGGACUUCUGCUAACUGGGUUCAGUUUGGGAAUUCAAACAUUUCUGUCUUCUUGUGGUGGAAACAUUUUCACUUUAUCUGGAGCAAUUUCCAAAAUGCUUGAAUCCAUUUACUUGUAUAGGGCAAAAAAGUUGGGCCAGAAUGACAGAACUCAACAUUUUCCAGCUAGUAUGGUGCAACCCAACUGAUGAUUCUCUGAACUCUCCCAAAGUCAUGUCCAGUACUGUGAGUACAUUGCUCAUUGCCCUCUUCUUCAUUCUGCAGUACUUGUUUGACAUGAAUUAUGUUUGCGCAUGCAGGCCAGGAAUACGUAGUGGCUGGGCUUUCCUGGGAUCUCCCACUUUAUCGUCAUCUUAAGCGAACCUUUCUAAAAGGGGAUAUAUUGUUACCACUGUCUUUAUUGCUGCAAUAAUAUCUGGAGCUUUAGUGUUUUUGUUUGAGUGCUGUUUGGGUGUCCUCCGUCUGGUUGGAUGGAGACUGGUACCUCUGCCCAAAGAUAAACAUUUACAUCAACCCGACUGGAAUUCCUUGUAAGGAACAGCUGACCUGCAGGGAGACGCUCUUCGGAGAAAAAGUAUAAGAAUGCAUCGUUGAAGCAGAUGCCCGUCCCUUCCUGUUCUUCCUCACCACCGAGCGGUAUUGUCAUUGUUGUGAACUGGCACUGAAGUAUGCAUAGAAACAAUAGCAGUGUGUACAAAAGCCUAGUCAAUCCUCUCCCUGUGCCCCUGACUCUUAUCUGUCCUCUAUGUGCUCCGUUCCCCCCUCGCCGUACCACACAUUCAGAUGCCGCAUCUCCUGACAAAUCCUGGUUCUUGUAUCUAAAUGGCACCUUCUUGCUCCAUUACUCAAUGAGUGAAACAUGAGCAUCGUACAUGCGUGUGUGUAAUUAGCAGUGACAUGACACACACGUGUGAAACAAGAUUGAGAGCAUGUGUUUCUGUUUACUUUCAACUGCAGGGCAGUUUUACUGCUACCACUGACAGUGUGGGACAGGCCGCCUUCUUUCAUACUGAUUUUUAAGUAAUUUGAUUGAAAGCACUGAUGUAAUGCUGCACAGUGUAAAGGAGAAUCAGAGUUCGAGCGCUCUGACUGACAAAAUUGCAAAUUGUUCUGAUGAGUUGUGAGAUUCAGAUGAGAAAUGUAACAACACAAUAACAAAUAUCUUUAAUCGUGAAGUAUGCACAGAAACAAUGGCAGUGUGUAGAAAAACACAGAAAAGGCUGAUGUGGGUGGUGAGAUGCAUUACUGGUUUGAGAACUGCAUUAAGAGUGGUGAGGAUGAUGCUUCUGAUGUGAGAACUGCACCAAAGUGAUUGAGAAAAAACUGUAAUUCCAGUGGUUAUCUCAUCUUUCUGCCAUCAAUACUGAUUGUGUUCAAUAAAGAAAUGAAAGAUU